UGACCCUCUGCACCGAGAACAGAAGGAAAGACAGAAACACAUGUGACAGAAAACAAAGGAGGCACUAAGAGAGGUUAGGAAAUGUGUGGGAGGAAGAAAACACUCAAGUUAAAGAGAAAAAGAAUGCAAUAAGAGACACACCUCCAGAGCCCCCGCAGGAAUCAAGAAGAGCCAGUACGACAGCUUUUUCUACUGUGCAUUCACUCAGGCAAAUAAGAACAAGCAGAUAAAGCUCCACGGACAGAGACUCUGUGAUGAGAAGAAGGCAGACAAAACCACAGGCAUGAGUGAACACAAAUGACUUGUGAGGCAACAGAUAAACCUGCCUCCUGACUGACAGCCAACCCUCUGUUAGUUCUCUAAUGAUUACUGCUUCUUGAAGGAAAGACGUUCAAAGAGCCUGCAAUCCGGUGGUUAAAGGGAAAAACAGAGAAAAAUAUGAUGCAGCACUGUUCUUCGCAGGUCGAGGCAGUCUGACCUGAGCUCUGAGAAAGCAGGAGAGGGAAAAGAGCAAACAUCAAAGAAGAACGAAAGUGGAAGGAAGAAGGAAAGGAAUAUAAAAAGAUGUGAGAAACAAAGAGAACUCUGUCAGUGUGCAACAAGCAUCUCUGCCUCUCAUAUCGAGGUCACUGUGAGUCGAGCCAGGCGGUCCGUGAUCCACGUGUUGGUGGGGAAGCUGUGAGAAAGAGCUUGGUCCCCAAACAGAAGGAAGGAAGGAAGGAAGGAAGAAGAAGAAGCAAGAUCAGAUAAUCACAGUUCUGCAG